rnacentral:tRNA from 1 species
CAAGGAAUAGUUUAAUAAAAAUUUUAGUUUUGGAGAUUAAAGAUGAGGGCUUCCUUUUCCUUGA